GGGCUCACACAAGCGGUGGAGCAUGUUGUUUAAUUCGAUGCAACGCGAAGAACCUUACCUGGGCUUGACAUUCAUGUGGUACCAAACCGAAAGGGGCGGGACCGUCUUUUGGCGGAGCAUGAACAGGUAUUGCAUGGCUGUCGUCAGCUCGUGUCGUGAGAUGUUGGUUAAGUCCCGCAACGAGCGCAACCCACGUCUUUAGUUGCCAGCAUUUAGUUGGGCACUCUAGAGAGACUGCCGGUGAUAAACCGGAGGAAGGUGUGGAUGACGUCAAGUCAUCAUGCCCCUUACAUCCUGGGCUACACACGUACUACAAUGCUACGGACAAAGGGCAGCAAGUUCGCGAGGAC
rnacentral:rRNA from 1 species